rnacentral:rRNA from 1 species
AUGGUGAGGAAGGUGUGGGCGCCCCCGAAAGUCAAAUUCUUUGCUUGGCUGGCCUUGCAAGAUCGGAUUUGGACCGCCGACCGGCUUGAGCAGCGUGGUUGGCCUAACUGUGGCCUAUGCCCCCUCUGCAAGCGAGAGCAGGAGACGGGCAUCCAUCUCUUCGUUAAGUGCCGCUUCACUUCUAGGCUCUGGCGUUUGAUCAUUGAUAAAUAUGGCCUUGUGCACAUGGACACUAAUGACUGGCACCUUGCGGGAUCCCUUUUGGAGUGGUGGGAUACGCGAACCAAUUUGAGCAAUCCAGAUCGACGCACCAUGGCCUCUCUUACCAUGCUUGUGUCGUGGACAAUAUGGAAUGAGAGGAACUCUAGAUGUUCCGUCACAAGAAUGCACCGCCACCAAUCCUCCUAA